rnacentral:rRNA from 1 species
UACAGAGGUCUCAACCGUUGUUCGGAUUCAUUGGGCGUAAAGGGUGCGUAGGCGGUCGUGCAAGUCGGAUGUGAAAUCUCAGGGCUCAACCCUGAAACUGCAUUCGAUACUGCGCGGCUAGAGUGCUGGAGGGGAGACUGGAAUUUACGGUGUAGCAGUGAAAUGCGUAGAUAUCGUAAGGAAGACCAGUGGCGAAGGCGAGUCUCUGGACGGCAACUGACGCUGAGGCACGAAGGCCAGGGGAGCAAACGGG